rnacentral:rRNA from 1 species
UAGAGUUUGAUCAUGGCUCAGAUUGAACGCUGGCGGCAGGCCUAACACAUGCAAGUCGAGCGGUAACAGAAAGUAGCUUGCUACUUUGCUGACGAGCGGCGGACGGGUGAGUAAUGCCUGGGAAUAUGCCUUGAUGUGGGGGAUAACUAUUGGAAACGAUAGCUAAUACCGCAUAAUGUCUUCGGACCAAAGAGGGGGAUCUUCGGACCUCUCGCGUCAAGAUUAGCCCAGGUGAGAUUAGCUAGUUGGUGGGGUAAGAACUCACCAAGGCGACGAUCUCUAGCUGGUCUGAGAGGAUGAUCAGCCACACUGGAACUGAGACACGGUCCAGACUCCUACGGGAGGCAGCAGUGGGGAAUAUUGCACAAUGGGCGAAAGCCUGAUGCAGCCAUGCCGCGUGUAUGAAGAAGGCCUUCGGGUUGUAAAGUACUUUCAGUCGUGAGGAAGGGGGUGUAGUUAAUAGCUGCACAUCUUGACGUUAGCGACAGAAGAAGCACCGGCUAACUCCGUGCCAGCAGCCGCGGUAAUACGGAGGGUGCGAGCGUUAAUCGGAAUUACUGGGCGUAAAGCGCAUGCAGGUGGUUCAUUAAGUCAGAUGUGAAAGCCCGGGGCUCAACCUCGGAACCGCAUUUGAAACUGGUGAAUUAGAGUGCUGUAGAGGGGGGUAGAAUUUCA